rnacentral:tRNA from 3 species
GCGGCGGUGGUGGAACUGGUAGACACGCUAGCCUCAGGAGCUAGUGGCCGCAAGGCUAUGGGGGUUCAAAUCCCCCCCGCCGCA